GCUAUCUUUUAAACAUGCAGGUUGAGAGAAUUACUUACAGUUUCUCUUUACACAUGGCACACUUAUUGUUGUAUGAUUUGCCAUUUUCAUUGCGUACAGGAUCAAUCUCCCGAGUACAGCUGAGUGGUCCAUUUUUCAUUUGUUUCCGAUACUCAGCACAUUGGUCCUGAAAGGGAAGAAGAGAGCAGGCCUCUUGGAUGACUUGGUCUGUUGUAUUGUUAUUAAGUUUGUUAAAUAAUUUGAGUAAGAAGUUCUUGUCUAUGUUCUCUUAUAAGGCAUGUAACAUCUAGGAUUGCUGUCUACAGAAGAGGAGGGGCUGGAAUCAUCCAUAUUCUAAGACAUCUGUUGUCAUGGGUCCUCUUCUUUGAAAAUAUCAAUAGAAAGAUGAAUUAUGUCACAUCCUUUUGCCUGGAAGAGCUCUCAUUGCAGUAGAAGAAAACCAGCGUUUACAUAACCUCAAGCAAGACUAGGCCUGUCUUCUCCGACACUCAGCAGGAGCAGUGACUGCAGGUCUACUCACAAGAAGGCUGCACACAUGAAGCAGGUGUUGCCGUGGAUUUUCCCAUCUGGGCCCUCGAUGGGGUCAUUCUCUGUGGUGCAGGGAAGACGUCCGUUCCUCACAUAGUUACGGUAUUCACGGCACAGCUCCUGCCAAGUGAGGGAGGGUUUAAGAAUCAGGUAACUAGGGCUUCCCUGGUGGGGCAGUGGUUGGGAGUCCACCUGCCGAUGCAGGGGACAUGGGUUCGUGCCCCAGUCCGGGAAGAUCCCACAUGCUGCGCAGUGGCUGGGC